GCUUACGGCCACAACCGCCUGGUUCACGCCCGAUCUCGUUUGUUCUCGGAAGCUGAGAUAGGUUGGGCCUGGUUAGUACUUGGAUGGGAGACUCCCUGGGAAUACCAGGUGCUGUAAGCU
ensembl:rRNA 5S_rRNA 5S ribosomal RNA